rnacentral:misc_RNA from 1 species
AACCAUUCUCACCUGCGGCUAGACCUGCGGAAGGAUCAUUACAGAGUUGCAAAACUCCCUAAACCAUUGUGGACGCUACCUUUUAACGUUGCUUCGGCGGGCGGCCCGCUCCCCUGGAAGGCCCCUGUGGCCGCCCGGGGCUGCGAGCCCCCCGGCCCCCCUCGCGGGGGCGCCCGCCGGAGGAUACCCAACUCUUGAUUAUUUUAGGCCUCUCUGAGUCUUCUGUACUGAAUAAGUCAA